AUACCUUUCUCGGCCUUUUGGCUAAGAUCAAGUGUAGUAUCUGUUCUUAUCAGUUUAAUAUCUGAUAUGUGGAUCAUCGGUCCACACGAUAUUAACUCAAUUUUUUAAAGGGGAAGGCUCAUCAGGAUAGCUUGCUAUUCGGGUCUUCGCGUGUCGCUUGGGCGUUGCACUACAGCCCUGGCCUGGCGCACCCCAC